GACGUAGGGCGCGAGCGUUGUCCGGAUUUAUUGGGCGUAAAGAGCUCGUAGGCGGCUCAGUAAGUCGGGUGUGAAACCUCCAGGAUCAACCUGGAGACGCCACUCGAUACUGCUGUGGCUUGAGUCCGGUAGGGGAGCACGGAAUUCCUGGUGUAGCGGUGAAAUGCGCAGAUAUCAGGAGGAACACCAGUGGCGAAGGCGGUGCUCUGGGCCGGAACUGACGCUGAGGAGCGAAAGCGUGGGGAGCAAACAGG
rnacentral:rRNA from 1 species